UGCAAAAAAGGCUUAAAGGUCAAAGGCUAGGCAAUGUGGGACUAAACAUAGAUGAAAAGAAAAGAAACAGAGAAUAAAAGAGGCGCCUCACAUGGGCCUAAAGGCCUUCGGCCGGCCGCGCGCGCCUAAGCUGCGGCUGCAUUUUUUUAUUCGGUCAACAGAAAAAAAAUCAUUUGUAAAAAAGAGUCUGGGGAAAUAAUAUGGCCGGUUGGGCCUGGCCCAUAUAGGAAAAAAAAGAUGGGGCGCCCGCUAGUACUAUGAUGUGCACCUGGGCGGCAGUUAGUGAUGGGCCACAUGUACAGUUUUUGUUAUUUGUUUUUAAAUAGAAACAGAAGGAAAACCGAAUAAAGAACAAAUAAAAUAAAAUAUUUAUAUAGGCAUAUUAUAUAUUAAAAUUUUCAGAAAAAGAUUUUCUACGACAUGAACAUUUUUAUAGCGUCAAAUAAAAUAUAUAAAAAUUCAGAUAAAGCAAAGAGUGCUGCUGCUGCAAUGAAACCUCAUAAAAAUCAUUUUAAAAAUACCAAAAUGAUUUCAAAUUAAUUUUUCUCCAAUUUUCUAUUGCAGGGAAUCAUGUUACCCUAUUUUCCAUAUAUUUUUAUUUUGGAGAAAAAUAAUUUGAAUAAAACCCAAAUACUCCAAAUUGAAAAUAAUUUCCAAAAGGACUUUAAAUUAGAUCCUUUUAAACUUCCAGCUCAUAUUUCAUAUGUUUUGAAGAAGUCAUUUUAUCUUCUCUCAUGAAAAUCAUUGAGUUGCUUGAAGUUUCUGAAUUUGAAAUAUUUCCAAGUGAAAUUCAAAUAUUUUCAAAAACCCUUUUCAUUUAUUUAUAAUGGAAGAAGUCAUGUCAUCUUCUCUCUAGGGUUUUGUAUUUGAAAAGAAUUUGAAUUCACGGAGAUCAUAAAAGCAAAAUGAAAGUUUGCGAAAGUCCUUUUAUUCCCUCUCAUUUAACUUUCAAAAGAUUUCGAAUUCACUCACUUUCAGUCAAUCAAUCAAACAAUCAAUCCAAUCUAUCUGUUUAUUUUAACACUCCAAAAUUUAGAAUUUUGGGAUGUUACAAACCUACCACCCUUAAAAUGAAUCUCGUCCUCGAGAUUCGGAGAGGCUAGCAAGUAAUAGGUUAGGUUUGGGGUCUUCUCAAAAUCCAUCGAUCAUCACAAGGGGGUCUGGGGUGCUACCACCCUUAGAAGCAUUGUUACUGUUCCAUCAAAACUCAUAUACUCCAUCCUUAUCUUUGACGGUGUCAGUCUUCUCAAAUUCUUGGAAAAUUCCUUCUCUGGGCUAUUCCGGUAGUGGCAUAACCUUUUUCCUCAAUUCUUUUGUAUCCUUUCGUCUUGGUAUGGUUAUUCCGAGACUGGGUCUUCUUAGCUGACGGGUCUGGCGCCAAUGCUAAACAACUUUCGAUAUCUCAUGGUGGUCAAAAAUUUAUGGUUUCUCCUGCAGGAAAUGGGUAUGGUUGAUCCUCACCGUAUAACCUACGAUUGGCAACAACUGCCGUGUACAAGGGAAACAUUCUUAUACCAUUCUAAGGUUCAAACAAGGUUUAAUACUGUCGUCUCUCUACUAUAGGUAAGUCACUCAGAUUUACCAUCCCGUAUAGCAAGGUGAACAAUAAGAGUAAGUCGGUAUGGUGAUUAAUCCAUCCCGCACCCAAAUCAUUUCCCUGUAUAUGGAUUAGUGAAUCUCGCAUUCUAACACUCGGUCAUCCUCACAAGCAUUGCAGAAUUUUCUCUUAUCGACGAACCAGGUUCGGAUAAAUCCAUGGAUUCUGCAAGCCAAACAAACAUCUAUCGUUCCUUCACAACUCUCAGGUUUUGCGUAAACUCCUAUAAAAUCGUCGGUUGAUACAGGUAUAUCCUCUUCCAGGGUUUUCCUUCAGUAAGAGUGUGCUUGCUUCUUGGCAGGUCCUGGAGCCUGUGGGUUAUGGCCCAUCUCAUCACUGGUAAACCUUGAACUCAUCAUCGGGGAAACUGAUCCUUAAUCCAACAUCCAACUUCCUAGUAUUCUUAAAUCCAUCCAAUUGUACUGUCUUCCUUCCUUCUAUUGGCACCAAACUAGGACAUGAUUUUAUGGAAUUUCCAUUGAUCCAUAUUUCCAACAUCAUACCUCCUUUAUAUCCAAUAGUAAUUCAUCUCUUCAUCCUCGGGGGAUAUCCCACAUACCGAGAUAAAAAAACUUAUACUUAUGAAGUCCAUACUCCACUUCGUGGAACAUCAUUAUCCUUUCCAGGGUCAAGCGUCCUUACAGGGGAAUAUUGGCCAUGUCUGCAUGGCACUUCUUCAACUGGGAAACAUGAAACACAUCAUGAACUCCUGACAGUCCUUCGGGUGACUCCAACUUGUUGGCCAGUUCUCCCAUACGCUCCAAAACUCGGUAUGGUCCUACAAAUCUCGGGGCUAACUUUCCCUUAACUCCAAAUCGUUUAAUUCCUCGCAGAGGGGACACACGAAGACAUGCUCUGUCUCCAAUUUCAUAGACUACCUCCUUGCGUUUUUUAGUCUGCAUAACUCUUCUGCCUAGACUGAGCUACCUUCAGUCUAUCUCGAAUCAACUUAACAUUCUCUUCUGACUCCUUGAUCACAUUUGGUCCAAACAACUUACGGUCUCUAACUUCAUCCCACAUCAAUGGUGUCUGGCUCCUUUUCCCAUACAAAGCUUCAAAAGGGGCCAUCUUCAAACUGGCUUGGUAACUGUUGUUGUAUGAGAACUCCGCGUAAGGUAGCUUAUCAUCCCUACUAGAUCCAUAAUCUAGCGCACACGCUCUCAACAUGUCCUCCAGAGUCUGAUUGACUCCCUCGGUCUAUCCAUCUGUCUGCAGAUGAAAGGCUGUACUGAACUCUAGCCUAGUACCCAAAGUCUGGUGCAACUGAUUCCAAAACUUUGAGGUAAACUGUGUUCCUCUAUCUGAUACGAUGGUCCUCGGAACUCCAUGCAGACAUACGAUCCUGGUCAUAUAUAUCUUGGCCAACUUCGUACUUGUAUAGGUGGUUUUUACUGGGAUAAAGUGAGCCACUUUGGUCAAGCGAAUCAAUUACUAUCUAGAUAGAAUCAUAUCCCGUUCGGGUUCUGGGAAAUCCGAUAAUGAAAUCCAUGCUAAGCUUAUCCUACUUCCAUUCGGGUAUCGGCAUAGGUUGUAGUAACCCUGCUGGCUUCUGAUGCUCUGCUUUUACUCUCUCUAGCAUACAUCACCUACGGCUACAUACUCCGCAAUAUCCUUCUUCAUACCAGUCCACCAGAAACGCUCCUUCAAAUCCAAAUACAUCUUGGUGUUUCCAGGGCGAAUCGAGUAUGGUGAGUCAUGAGCCUCCUGAAGUAUUAACUUCCUGAUCUUUGCAUUAUUGGGCACAUAUACACGGUCCUCGAACCAUAAGGUGUCGUGCUCAUCCUUACGAAAACAUUUGGCCUUUCCUUUGCUCAUCCUCUCUUUUACCUCAGCAAUCUCUUUGUCAUUCUUCUGAGCUUCACGGAUCUUUCCCAACAAUGUAGACUGAACUUCCAUUGCUGCAACAAAACCUUUGGGAACAAUCUCCAACCGAAGUUCCUUGAGAUCCUCUGCUAACUCCUUUGCUAAUCCUCCGCUUAUGAGGGUAUUCGUCCUUGUUUUCUUUAUGGUUGUGUCCUAUUUAUCCACAAAGAUUGUAUGCACAAGGUUUCUUCAUAUCCUUUCCAUAAGGCCUCAACUUUUGGGACACAAGCCAAGACUUUAACAAAGUCCACUUAAAUUCCUUCCAAGUGGUUACUCCUUGCCAUCCGUUGAUGGUUUGGUACAUCCUCCACCAAGUAGCAACACCUCUUUCAAAACACUGAAGAGCAUGUUGGGCCAUAUCUUUUCCGACUAUAGGGUUAUUCUCCAUAUGAUCCUCCAUGUUCUGAAUCGAUCGGUCCGUCUCCAAUUGACUCAUCGGUCCAGAAAAUAUGAGUUCAUCUCCAUUCAUCCUCUAUUGGGUCCAUGGGUUUGGGGUGAGAUAAGAGAGAUAGAGAGAGAUGCACACAAUACAAACAAAAGUUUUGAAAAGACAGAUUUUUAUUUUGUGGCUGUCGGAAAACAACAAACAAAUGACAGCUCACAAUCGUCGCAUCUAACGUAGGUAUAUAACAGGGGUUUGGUCUUCUAAGGGUCAAUAAAUUUUCAACGUCGCUGAACUCUUCAAGUCUUGUUCAUGUCUCCAAUGGCUUCUUCAGAUCAUGCUUGUCCUUCGCAAGUUCUUUUGCCAGAUCACCUCUGUUGACGUGAAGACUCGAGUGUUGUCCUUUAAUAUUUCUGGAGUUGCGUUCCACACUUCUGGGUUUCAACAUCCUUGACAUGAACCAUGAUCCUACUGUCCUUCAGUUCCUGACGAAUCUUUGAUGUCUCAAGGUUUUGCUCCUCUAGCUUGGCUACUUUCAGCUUCUGGGUCCUGAGUUCUUCACGAAACGCUUCCUUAUCAAAUACUAUUUCCUGCAGGUCCAUCUUAACUUCUUGAUGUAAUACUCCAGAUCCUGGUGAUACACCGGUCUAAAGUUAAAACUUCAUCUUGCUGAUAGGUGCUCCAUCAGCCUUCUACCAUCCAAUCCUUCCAUGCAUCUGCAUGCUUAACUCCGCACGGUGACAAUAGCAUAAACGGGUAAUAACACCAUGGUCAGCCGUGUCUAUGCCCAUGUUACUGCCAUGAGCUUUCAUUCCAUAACUGAUAUCUCCUGUCUCUAGGUUUUCUUAACAAAAACUUUGAGUUCUAAUGCUCCAUGUUCCGGUCUUUCUCCGAUACACCUUGGUCUCCGGUAUUGACGGCUUCCAUAGUCUGCCAAGUUCCAUAAGGGUAGCCUUCCUAUACCAAUCUGGAAAUUCUUCGGAGCCUUCAAAUUCUCCUAGUCUUCAGAGUCUUUAACCAUUGUAGUUCCAAUUAUAACAAUGCUCGAUAAAAUCCUCUUCAUUCCGAAGUGGUCUUAGUUGUCCAAUAUCUUGUACUUCUUGGAGUGGUCUCAUCAAUCGAAUCUUCGAGUGGUCAAAAGGGAAAAGGGUAUGGUCUCACUAAAAGGGAAUAUUUGAAUAAGCUCAGAAGAGAAACGAGGUAAAAGAUCCUUUUGAAAAGAAAGUUGUAGAGAAAAAAAUUCUUUUCCUAUGGGCUUGCCAGUUUUUAGGGUCAUGUCCUACAGUCAACAUGUGCUCUGAUACCAUCUUGUAGCGACCCAACCCGAAUGGAUCAAGUCUCUAUGCUUAAGUGUCAUCCCUGGAUCGGUAUGCUGACACACACAGUACUCGAGGAUUUAUAACAGAGGUAAAUCACAUGUAUAAAGUAAUGUAAAUACUAUUACCUCAAUCCAAAUAGCGGAAGUAACAAGGUUGUGGAUUCCCAUCAACACCAACGACAAAGUUGAGUGUAGAAAUCGUAACCCUAACGUAUUACUUACUCGUCGUAAGAAUCCUGCAACAUGAGACGUUGCAGCCACAAAGGGUCAGUACAUUGAAUGUACUGGCAAAUUCACACUGUAGAGCAAUGCUGAAAUAUGGCUAUCACUACAUGCAUAUUUGGCUGGUGGAAAAGCUCUAUGGUUAUCAAGUUUUUGCGAAAAGCCAAUUUUUCCCUAUUGCAAAGGAAUAAAUCUUAUUUGACUCUCAUGGUGGUUGUUAAACAUUAAGAUGGUUGACAGCAUCUCAAUCCCAAUUAAGUAUCAUCAUUAACCCAACAAGAUUAAUUAAAGUAACAUGAUGAGAUUCACAUGAUAAUCCAAGUACUAGAUACUCAAGUUGUCCAUAACCGGGGACACGGCUAAUCAUGAUUAGUUUGUACACUCUGCAGAGCUUUAUGCACUUUUCCCCACAAGACUCGAUCUCCUCCGUUGGAUUUCUCGCACUACAUGGUGUUUGAGAAACGGAUGACCGAGACACAGUCUUUCAGAAGCGUUAGCACCUUAUGAUGCGUAGACCGUACCACCUACACCCCCUACAUCUGCUAGUCUACCACUGUAAGAGUUCACACGACUUAAUCAACUAUGCUAGAGCCCAUAAUAGCUUGUGGCUGCACACGGAAGUUUUUAGUAUGAAUAAUCUUAUGAUCCCUUUGAGCCUGGGUGGCGGUCCAAAAGAAAAACAGGCAAUCCUGGAAUACCCAGGUACCUCAAUCCACCCAGAUGUGUGUUUUAGUUGCCACCUUAAGGUUAACCAUUAAUUAACAAUCUCACAUCUGUCAUGGUAACACUCAAACCCAAUCCACGUCUACUAGCAUAGCAUAACAAUAUAAGGAAACGUAGAAGUACCUCCCAAGGGUUUGAUAAUAAACAGGGCAAUAGGUACUACCUCAUCUACUUCCCAGAACCCACAAUUUAAUUAGAUCCUAAUCAUGCAAUGUUUGAGGGUUGAUCUAAUGCAAUAAAACUGGGUAGUCAAAGAGGUAUGAUCAAAGUGUGAACUUGCCUGCAAUGUUGAUGAAGAUGAUUUGCACUCAUAACUCUUGAUAGUUCUACUCGUCACACUCUGAUCAAUCUAUCGUGAGCAAGCAAUAGUAACGACACAUAAGCAAUCACUCAAAAGAAUCGAAGAAAAGAUCACGGAAAACUUCGAAAACAAGCAAAUAACUCUUGCAAUAUAAAACAGUUUUAAUAGUACCAAAGUUAGGUGGAUUUGGCCUUAUCAGAAAGUUUAGGUCGUGAGCUUCGCUUUGCAAAAAGAAUCAACUCAAACGGAGUUACGGAACUUAAGUUAUGAACAAAAAAAUUUGAAUAUGAAUCUGAACAAAAUUCGAAAUUUGAAAAUUUCAAAAAGUUGAUGUGACAGGUUAACUAGAUAGGUGAUAACAAGACGAAACUACAAUCGUUGGUUUCAUCUAAUUUGGAUGAACGAGUGAAAAGUUAUGGUUAUUUGAAAAAUCAGGGCCAAGCUGUUUUACGGAAGAAAAAUAGUUACGGCUAAGGUCUAUGUAUAAAUAUGUAGACUAAUUAAUAAUCUAAUUAUUCUAUCAUAUUAGUCUAAAAUAAUAAACUAUGGAAAUAUAAAAAGAGAAAAAAAAGUUACCUUUACAAGGCAUAGAAAAGAUGACUUCGAAGAGAGGAGACAAUUCUCAAAAGUCGCGCCGGAGAGGAGAAAAAUAUUUUUAUUUAAGGAAUCUAGUCAAACCAAAAUAUUGAUUUAACCCGAGUCGGAUGAUUUUUGGAGGCUCUAUUGGUCUAUAUUUAUUGGUGCAAAAAAGGCUUAAAGGUCAAAGGCUGGGCAAUGUGGGACUAAACAUAGAUGAAAAGAAAAGAAACAAAGAAGAAAAGAGGCGCCUCGCAUGGGCCUAAAGGCCUUCGCCCGGCCGCGCGCGCGUAAGCUGCGGCUGCAGUUUUUUUAUUCGGUUAACAGAAAAAAAAAUCAUCUGUAAAAAAGAAGUCUAGGGAAAUAAUAUGGCCGGUUG
rnacentral:lncRNA from 1 species